GAGCCUCCUGAUCUCUAUGCUGAACAACCCCAACUCUCUCAGCCUGUCUUCAUAGGUGGGGUGCUCCAGCCCUCUGAUCGUCUUUGUAGCCCUCCUCUAGGCCUGCUCCAAGA